rnacentral:lncRNA from 1 species
AUGACCACUCUGAGUAUCUGCGGCUGUAUUUUAGUUCAGAAGAAUCAACAGGGAAUCGACAAGGAUGACAAAGGUUGUGGCAUCUUCCAGUUUGCGUUUCUACACCUCAGAAAGCACCUGCUGUUCCGGGCCCUUCAAGAGUUCCCCAGGCUGGAAAGCGUCUCCGAAAUAGUGUGCGCUGGCCCUGGUCCGCCUCUCUGCCACGACGGAGAACAGACUUUCAACACACACGCCAGGGAGUUUAGGAGAGGGCUCCCUAAUUCUCCCCCUUUCCCACAUCAUCGGUUGCCUCCUUGUUCGUUCCCAAUCGUUCCCAUGAGCAUACAAAUGUGCUGUCAUUUCUCCCAUCUGGGCAGCAACCCUCCUCCAGAUACCCCCUGAGAGGGGCAUGUUUCGAGCUGGAGCCAGCACGGCUGCGGAUGGACUGGCUGCAUACCAGAGAUCGGUGCUGAGGCUGACACCGGGUGUCUGGUCUUCUCUCUGCCCUGCAGGGGUCUGCAGGCUGCUGCAGGUGAAGCUUGUCCUCCUGAGUGGGCAGUGGGAGUAGGAAGGGUCACAGGGGAAGGGCCUAGGCGCCUUGGGCUGUGUUUCCUCCUUGCAAGUGUCAGGGGAGCCUGGAGCAUGUCCUCUCCUGCUCUCCAGACAAGGCCUCUGCCCGCUGCUGCCAGAUCUCUGGAGUCUGCAGAGGUGGGCUCGCCCCCAGGCACAGCAUUGCCUCCUGGGCCCAGGUGCAACCCAGAGCCUUUAUGGGACACGCCUUGGACUGGGAGAAGCCCUGCUGUUGAGGGACAUUGAGUCCUGGGGGUCCUGAGAUGGGCAGAGCAGUAAGAGGAGGGGGCUGGCUCAGUGAGGAGGAGGUUGACCCCAGAGGCAGGUAUAAGAGGGCCCUCAAGACAGGAUGUGGUCAGCUGUCAUCCUGCUGACCUGCUGCUCCUCCAUGUCAGGCUGGACCUGUCGGCACCAAGGCUCCAGGCCUCUGCGGGGUGCCUGGGCGCUGCUGUGGUUCCCCUCAGCUGAUCGGGCUCCAAAGGCCCUGGCCUCCCCUUGAAGCUGUGGGGGGCACACAGGAGGGACAGCUUCCCCGGGUCCUCUCUGAGCCCACACAGGGGCCGACUGGAUUGACCCUCGCCCUCACUGUGGCCGUGUGAGCAGAGCCCGACCUGCUGUGUCUCACCUCCCUCCCUGUCCUGUGGGCCCUCCUCGGGCGAAGUCAGGGGAGUCAAUAAGACUGUCUGUGCAAAGGUCCUGCGCAGAGCCUGAUGCACAGUCAGCUCUUUCUAAGGACUGUGCUCUCUCCUGUCACCACCUUGGCUUGUGUGGUAACUGAGUCGGGCCCGGGGCCUCCAUGUAAUCAUCUGCUAAACAGAGUCAAUAGGCCCUGUUCGCCUAACCUGCCAGGACUACUGAGAGAAACAAGUCGGAGAGUGGACUUGAGAAAUGCUCACUCCAGGCCGCAGGCUUGCGCACGGCGUCUCCAGCUCGGCCCCAGCCCCCCCCCCCCCCCCCACCCCCCCCCCCCCCCGCCAGAACGAGAGCCCUCUGCUUCCACCUGCUGAGCCAGGGAAUCCACCGGGCUCUUCACUCAGACGACUUCACUUGGCUGCUCCCAGCACGUGUCUCCUCCCUUGGACGCCCGGCCCAUCUCCCCUGACAAGACUAGUGCAGGCCCUUCCCUGGGCCCAGGCUCCAUGCCCCUUCACCCCAGAGCCCGUCCCUCUCUGCCUUGGCUCCUCUGCUGGCCUCCUGAGCAACAUGGGGGUCCUUGGACGCAGAGCAGUCUGACGAGAGAACCGUGGGCGUUUGGAAGCAGUGGAGGCGUGAAUGGACGGGUGAGUGAUGGGUGAUGCACUGUGAGCGACGGCUGGCUCGGGGACGGAAAGCGGACGCUGUGGCCCACAGCUGGUGGGCCUGCUCUGGGUGGAAGGAUGCCCUGGGCUUGCCGAGUUCCCAGACACCCUGGUGCUCAGUCCAGAGCAGCCCCGAAGGAGCGCGAGCCCUGAGCAGAAAGGGCUCCUGGGCUCAGGCCCCAGUUCCCGCCCUGCACUGGGCUCCUCUCUGCCCUCACCUGUCUGUGUCCUCUUUGUAAGUAGCAACAUUUUGCCUGGAGUGGAAGUUGACUGUUGAAAAUAAAGAGAACUCCAUAUGGGUUUCA